UUAUUUUUUUCGAUAAAAUUUUCAGUAGGCGCUGUUUAUUAAAAAUUGAUGAAAAUUUUCGCUGUUAUUUUCUUGAUAAAAUUUUCGGUAGCCGCUGGUUUCCCUCAUUUUCCCACUGUUCUAAAAUUCCCCAAAUUAAACCCUAAUUUUUCGUUUCUCUAUCCUCACUUAACUGACAUCUCAAACUACAAUCAAUUGGUGAAUUUCGUUGAUUGUUUCAAAGACUCCGCAAAAAGGGGCUGAUCAUUCAACAUUUUAAGGAUUAUUUCUGCUAUCUUCAAGAUCGACAUAGAGUUUGAAAUUGAAAUGGGUUAAUGUCAAAAUUGCGGUUUCUGCUUGAACCUCUCAAGUUUGUUACUGAUGAUGGGACCCCAUGGAGGAGAAAUCUGCUGUUGUUAGAUUGAGUGACAAAAUUAACAAGUCAAAACGCAAUAAGUUGUGGAGGAAAAGGAAGAGACGUCGUGUUGCUGAAUCACUUGCUAAGGAGGAGGAGCAAUUCAAGAAACUUGACCGAGAAGCUGAUGAAUGGAGGGCUAAAGAAAUUGCCAAGGAUAUGGCAGAACAAAAGGAUACUAUAUAUAUCCAAGUAUGAAGUGCUACAUCAAACAUCUAAAGAUUUAUUGGACUUUGAGCAAAAAUAUUAGAUUGGUUUUGAAUUUGGUUUUGGAAUUUUUAUUAGUUUAAUAUAUGAAAUAUUUAGAUUGAAUUUGUUUUUGUUGCUUGUAAUAAAUAUUUAGCUUAUCAAUUACAAUGGAUUUGAAUUAACUA